UACGUGAGGGGCGAACGUUGUUCGGUGUCACUGGGCUUAAAGGGCGCGUAGGUGGUUGCGUAAGUAACGUGUGAAAUCCCUCGGCUUACCCGGGGAAUUGCACGUUAUACUGCGUGACUUGAGGAUCAGAGGGGAAUGGGGAACUCCAGGUGUAGCGGUGAAAUGCGCAGAUAUCUGGGGGAAGGCCGGCGGCGAAGGCGCCAUUCUGGCUGAUUCCUGACACUGAGGCGCGAAAGCGUGGGGAGCAAACAGG
rnacentral:rRNA from 1 species